AGUAAAAGUCGUAACAAGGUCUCCGUAGGUGAACCUGCGGAGGGAUCAUUACAAGUGACCCCGGUCUAACCACCGGGAUGUUCAUAACCCUUUGUUGUCCGACUCUGUUGCCUCCGGGGCGACCCUGCCUUCGGGCGGGGGCUCCGGGUGGACACUUCAAACUCUUGCGUAACUUUGCAGUCUGAGUAAACUUAAUUAAUAAAUUAAAACUUUUAACAACGGAUCUCAUGGUUCUGGCAUCGAUGAAGAACGCAGCGAAAUGCGAUAAGUAAUGUGAAUUGCAGAAUUCAGUGAAUCAUCGAAUCUUUGAACGCACAUUGCGCCCCCUGGUAUUCCGGGGGGCAUGCCUGUUUGAGCGUCAUUUCACCACUCAAGCCUCGCUUGGUAUUGGGCAACGCGGUCCGCCGCGUGCCUCAAAUCGACCGGCUGGGUCUUCUGUCCCCUAAGCGUUGUGGAAACUAUUCGCUAAAGGGUGCUCGGGAGGCUACGCCGUAAAACAAACCCAUUUCUAAGGUUGACCUCGGAUCAGGUAGGGAUACCCGCUGAACUUAAGCAUAUCAAUAAGCGGAGGAAAAGAAACCAACAGGGAUUGCCCCAGUAACG
rnacentral:rRNA from 1 species